AGAAACAGCUCAUGCUGUUAUAAUUGCUACAAUUUCACUGGCAAUUUAAAUAAAAUAAUUCAAAUUGCUGCAAUUAACACAGACAUAGAAUUCAAAGGAUAUUGGGCGACCUCGUACAAAUCGCAUUGUGAAAUCAGCCCUCCUCCAGAGAAUUAACCUUCAUAAAUCAUUUGCAUCCAGAGGACGCCUGGAUUCAUACUCUGUAAAGAUGCACAGGAAAAGGAAGGCCCCUAAAGGAGAAUGGCCGUCAAUAGCAAGCACUGUUUCCCGGUUUGUAUCGCCCAUAUGAAUGCACAGAGAUCGGCCGUGUUAUAUUCACAAACUCCCUGGCUGAAGCUUCCUCUAUCCCAGGGAAAGUCGCAUGAGCAAAGAUCAAGAAGGAAGCCAUCUGUGAGCCACAAAAACAGCCCCUCAUGAGAAACAGAAUUCGUUGGCACCUUGAUCUAGGACUUCUCCUGCAGAACUGUGAAAAAUAAAUUUCUAUUGUUUGACAUGCA